UGAGACUUUAAGUCUCCUGAAGGAACGUUGAAGACGACGACGUUGAUAGGCCGGGUGUGUAAGCGCAGCGAUGCGUUGAGCUAACCGGUACUAAUGAACCGUGAGGCUUAACCUUACAACGCCGAAGGUGUUU
rnacentral:rRNA from 6 species